rnacentral:rRNA from 1 species
CAAGUCGAACGGAAUCCAUGGUGUAGCAAUACACCGGAAGAUUUAGUGGCGAACGGGUGAGGAUCACGUGAGAAACGUGCCCCAGACUCUGGGAUAACAAUUGGAAACGAUUGCUAAUACCGGAUGACGUCGGAGAAUCGCAUGAUUCACUGACGAAAGAUAUUUCGGUUUGGGAGCGUCUCGCGGCCUAUCAGCUUGUUGGUGGGGUAAUGGCCUACCAAGGCAACGACGGGUAGCUGGUCUGAGAGGAUGAUCAGCCACACUGGGACUGAGACACGGCCCAGACUCCUACGGGAGGCAGCAGUGGGGAAUCUUGCGCAAUGGGCGAAAGCCUGACGCAGCAACGCCGCGUGCGGGAUGAAGGCCUUCGGGCUGUAAACCGCUUUCAGCAGGAACGAAAAUGACGGUACCUGCAGAAGAAGGAGCGGCCAACUACGUGCCAGCAGCCGCGGUGACACGUAGGCUCCAAGCGUUGUCCGGAUUUAUUGGGCGUAAAGAGCCCGUAGGCGGUUGAGUAAGUCGGGUGUGAAAACUCUGGGCUUAACCCGGAGACGCCAUCCGAUACUGCUCUGACUAGAGUUCAGGAGGGGAGUGGGGAAUUCCUAGUGCAGCGGUGAAAUGCGCAGAUAUUAGGAGGAACACCGGUGGCGAAGGCGCCACUCUGGACUGAAACUGACGCUGAGGAGCGAAAGCAUGGGUAGCAAACAGGAUUAGAUACCCUGGUAGUCCAUGCCGUAAACGGUGGGCACUAGGUGUGGGUUCCAACUAACGGGAUCCGCGCCGUCGCUAACGCAUUAAGUGCCCCGCCUGGGGAGUACGGUCGCAGACUAAACUCAAGGAAUUGACGG